CACGCGCGCCACAUUGAAGGUGACAGCGUGCAAUUACUCUCCUGCUCCGAGAGGAGUGGGUAAUCAUUUCAGACGCCUUCGUCCUUGGGAUAGGGGUCUGAUAACUCCCCCUUGAACGAGGAAUCCCUCGUAAGCCUGAGUCAUGAGCUCGUGCUGAAUAAGUCACUGCGCUUUGUACACAUCGCCCGUCGCUAUUAUCGAUGAUCGGGCGAGUGAGAUCACCGGACCGGCUGACAAUUUACGAAUCUUCGUGAAGGGUCGAGCCCGGAAAGAUGAUCGAACUCGAACGGUUAGAGAAAAUAAAAGUCGUA
rnacentral:rRNA from 1 species